UAGGGAAUCUUCGGCAAUGGACGGAAGUCUGACCGAGCAACGCCGCGUGAGUGAAGAAGGUUUUCGGAUCGUAAAGCUCUGUUGUAAGAGAAGAACGAGUGUGAGAGUGGAAAGUUCACACUGUGACGGUAUCUUACCAGAAAGGGACGGCUAACUACGUGCCAGCAGCCGCGGUAAUACGUAGGUCCCGAGCGUUGUCCGGAUUUAUUGGGCGUAAAGCGAGCGCAGGCGGUUAGAUAAGUCUGAAGUUAAAGGCUGUGGCUUAACCAUAGUACGCUUUGGAAACUGUUUAACUUGAGUGCAAGAGGGGAGAGUGGAAUUCCAUGUGUAGCGGUGAAAUGCGUAGAUAUAUGGAGGAACACCGGUGGCGAAAGCGGCUCUCUGGCUUGUAACUGACGCUGAGGCUCGAAAGCGUGGGGAGCAAACAGGAUUAGAUACCCUGGUAGUCCACGCCGUAAACGAUGAGUGCUAGGUGUUAGACCCUUUCCGGGGUUUAGUGCCGUAGCUAACGCAUUAAGCACUCCGCCUGGGGAGUACGGCCGCAAGGUUA
rnacentral:rRNA from 1 species